AUGAUCCGCAUCCCACAUGACAUCCCAGAAAGGAGCUGGGCAGCGGCCACCCCUGCCGAACGUCAUUUUUUCCCUCCGCUGAAGAAGAGGGGUGGAAUACCCCGUCCCUCCCCUGAGGGAGCUUUGCGAACAGCCGGGCAGAGGCGGCUGCGGAGCCGGAGGUACCCCGUGGUUCCCAGCAUGAUCGGCACCUUCCCAGACGCGGCUUCACUUGGGAUAACCAGCAGAGCAAGGAGGAGAGCAGCGCCUCUGGGAUUAUGCUUUGGAGCAGCAAGGAAACCAGAACCACACAGGAACCACCUGUGCUGAACGUGGGCAGCUCUUCCCACCCUCCUGUUGCUUCUUCUGCCAGCAAAGCUCCAACACAAGGCAGCUGGAUGAACCUUCUGGAAUUCUCCUGGCUCUGGACACCCACUGGUUGUUCUCCAUUGGGGUCACACAUUGUUCUCUGCCCAGGGCUGCUCAAUUCCUGUCUUCUCCAAGGCAUCUUUGCAGGUAACCCAAGCUCUCCUGUGAACAGUGAUUGGGCUGACUCAUAGUCAAGAUGCAGCAGAAAGAAAAAGUCAAAAAAGUACUGUCUGGACACUACUGUAACUAUUUUGGGGCUUACCCACCUGUAAACCUAAAUGUGUCAGGUCUGAGCAGGCAUGGAGAGCAGAUUUGGUUCACAAGGAGAAAUAUAAUGAGAACAGUGUUAGCAACUCUGCCUAUUUUAACAGUUUAGAAAGGUCAUUUCAUUCUUGUACCAGAUUUCCACUCUUCUUCAAUAUUGGUCAAGACAUUUUAUCUGAUUAUUCUUCUCUGAAGCUUAAUUUGUACAGCUGGCUAUUUUUAAAUGGCACAUACUUCUGCAUGGUAAGAAGGGAAAUUAAGGAAGAAAAUUAUCCCAAAAUGUUUCUUUCUAUCUAGUUAAUAGGCUCCAUGAGUAUUAUUUUAUUACAGCUAAUUCUAACAGGUAAUUUAGCAGGUUGCACUGACAACACAUCCUGCCACUCUGCCAGACACAGCAGUCCAAAUGCCCUGCCAACAGCUGGUGACAGCAGGAUUUCUCCAGGGGAGCAGAUCCAUCCAAAGGAGGGUGGGGAAAGACAAGCAGGAGCCCUCUGAGAUACCAGAAAUCAUCUUCCAGGCAAAGCCACAGAGGAAAUAAAGAGGGAAGGCAACCAAGAAUGAGGGGGAAGGCAAGGCCAGGCUGGGCAGCUGCCACAGCCCUCCUUCAGAGGAGGGGACAAGUGGCAAUGUAUGACCUGCUGACAGUGCCCCUUCACAUGACACAAACAGCCACAGGAAGUACAGGGCUCUAAAAAGCUAGAGGAAAAAAAUCUUCUAUAACCACACCAACCAAUUAUUAUUUCUUUUCUUCCUCCACGUCUGACGAUUUUUUGCAGCGCAUUAUUGAACGGGACGUUGCAAAACAGCACAAGGGGCAAGAUUCCAAAUUCAUCCAGUGGCUCUGUGCUUUCGGGCUUCACUCUGAGUAGGUAAACAAGGAGAAUAUAAUAGGUGGUAGAUGCAGAGCUGGAGUAGGCACAGCAAAAAGCAUCAAGGAAGCAAUGAAAAAAGCCCAUCAGAAAGCAAACCUGGGAAUCUGGAUCACUUGGAAAGCUGAGGAGGAUGGUGGUGACUUCUUGGGCUUGUUCAUUUGGCUUCCAGGAUGAACUUUUUGAUCUUCUGGUCAUUAAAUGAAUUUUGGUUUAUCUUGCACAGUAUCAAGCUCUGGAGUUCAGCAUUCUCACAGUAGACCCAUAGAAAAGACUUCAUAUGUGAGCAAAAGGCUUUGCAUGGCAAGAUGAUGACUGAAAGGACAUCAGACAGCAACAGGGUGUUUGCAUUUGUACAGCCACUAAAAAUAGUUACUUUUCCAUUUUAUCCCUGUGGCAGGCUAAGACUGACCCAACCAUCUGGCUAAACUCAACAGUGGAAAUUAUCCAGCUAUAGAGGCAUAGAACAGGAGGCCACACCCAUCACAUUCUGUGGUGUGACUGGCAGGAGGGUGCAGGAGAGCAAUUUCUCACAGGUAACACCCUCAGACAACCUGUAAGUCACAGGCAAUGACGUUUGACAGGUGAUAGGUUUGGUGUCACCUGUGGGGGAUGUUGUUACUCCACGGACAAGAAGGAUAGCUCAAAGUGCAUGCCUCGAAGGCCUCUCACUGAGGGGCUCCCAGAAAUUCAGCUCUCCUCAUCCACAAUGGUCUAAGGAUCACUCAAGAUCGAAACAGUCAUUCUUCCAGAGGUGUGGGGCUGGUGGUGAGGGUGCUCAAUCCCAGGGGCAUCACCCCAGCCCCAAGGGAAGGGCUUCCCACUGCAGACAUCUGCUCCAAUGAAAACCACACAAAAAGGGGGCUAUAACUGGUCUGGUCAGGGCUUGUGGACAUACAUGGUAAUGGUCCAGGAAUUCCUCUGGACUGAGGCUUUUUAUUACCUGGGGACCCUCUGUGCUGACCAAGGGGUCCUGCCCUCCUCAUCCCCCCCAUGAAGGCAGAGUUGGGGUCAUGGUGCACAUGAGGCAGAUGUGGGGUGGGGCUGUGAGGAACAAAAGUGAAAGGGCAUGAAAGGUUGGCAGCCACCUCAAACCAGCCAGGGAAUGGGGUGGGAUCCCCCUGACAGCCUGUCAUACCACCAGCUACAGUGGAACCCAGAAUCUGUAUUUCAGUGUUAGCCUAGAAAUAUAGAAGUCCCAGUAUAUAUUUCUACUCUUGAAAAUAUUCUUUUGUGGGUUAAGAUGGGCUUUCAUACACAGCUGUUCAAGAGAACCUUUUCUCUCCUCUCUGUCUGCAGCCUGAGCAAA
ensembl:lncRNA